rnacentral:lncRNA from 1 species
GGGAAAGGUCAAAGUUUGCUGCAUGAAUCCACCUCCUGCUUGGACAGCUCAUGUUUUGAUGAUACUUGUCUUUUAAUUACACUUUCCUUCAUCCUUAAGCAUCAUUCACGACUCCAACCCUUGAGGCUACUUAUACAUCUCUUGGAUAAGACAUUUAAACCUCCAAAUAUAUCCCCAAGUGAAAGGGAGAGCAAAGGAAGCAAAGAGAGAUAGAAAAGUAAGAAGCUGGGAUUGCAGUUUGUAAAGGUUAGUUAAAGUCACGGUUUUGAAGUUUUUCUUUACUCCUUUUGGGUGUUUUAUAAUGUGUUAAUACUCUAAACUUACUUGAGGUUAUUUAGAAGGGUUGUUGAUGAUGUUAUGAAGGCAAAAAGAGGGGUAAUCAAGUACAAGAACCUGAAAGAAACCAACAGAAAUAGAGAUGUGUAGAUUGAUGAAUUUGGAUGGUUUAAACUUUGAUUUUGGAUAAUAUUUAAGAUAAAACUUGUAUCUAUGUAAAUGAAUGUUUUUAAAUGAUAGUUAUAAGGAUAUAAAUGGCCUUCUAAUAGCCUGAAAUCCGAUUGGUAACGUGCUAAUAAAAUAGAAACCGAAAAAUGUCACAAUGGAAACUGUCUGAUUUUAGUGUUGUAGAAAUGGACUGUUUUGAGGCUGAGAAUACUUUACUUGUCAUGACUUUAGAGAAAUAUUACCUUCACAUACAUGUUAUAUAAACGUGGUAAAAAUUUCGGAGUCAUUGGAUAUAGAUAAGGGGGUGAAAAGGGAUUGGAAAAAUAAUUGGACGGUAAGGGAAAUCUGAAAACAGAUUCUGUCCAAUUUUGUGUUUAAUAUGAUUGCAGCCUUUACAUGUACAUUAAUCAUUUCUUGGGCCUAGAAAAUAGAUUCUAAGGGUACUAGGUUUUCAACAACAAUUGGAUGAUGUUGACGUUCAUAAUUUGACUCGAGAAAUAGCGAGAUUUAUGGGAUAAGUUUGUAAUGCCAUCGGUAACUUGAAAUGAUGAUUCCGUCUAAAAUAUUUUAGUGAGAAUGGAUGUAUUUUGGGAUUUUGUGCGUUAACGUUAUUAAAUUGAGGAUUCUCUUUAAUAUUAAAUGGUAAUAUAGGUGAUUUUCUGACUUCGAGUGAAAAAUGAUAUUGAUCUAAUCUCCAUAGAAGCUUACACACACAAAGGUGAAAGGUAAGUAAAAAUUCAUUUGCAACUACGAUGCAAGAACCUAGUAUAUGUGACAUAGUAAUGUUGAAAUAUCUACAUAACUUUGAUAAGAGGCUUAUAGCACAUCAUAUGGUGGUUACGAUCAUUGAGUAUGAGGUUGCGUAACCUAUUGAUAUCGAUUUUCAUUAAAUACGUAAUUCAUGAGCAUUUUCAUAUGCAUGCACGACAUGUGACAUGGUUGAAAAUCCUGCAUGCAAAACAUGAUUUCAAAGUGAGUUUCAUUAUAAAUGUUUUAUUGACCACUACUAGGGCACCGAGGUAUAUGAGGCAUGCUUAUGUGAUAAGUUUGGCAUUACGGGUGUUACUUCCUGGGUGAUUGCAAAGGUAGAUAGGGGAUGAGUCUUUGGUGAUCACGGGAGGGCGGACCACUCGACUGUGCCCUUGUGAUAUUAUGAUUAUUGGCUCUGCCGGGUGGGAGACUUCUUGGGUGAUCAUACAGGUAGUCAGGGGAUGGGCCUCUAGUGGUCACAAGAGGAUGGUCCACUCAUCGAUGUCGAUUUCAUAUUGGUCAUUUGAUUAUUGAUAUUGAUAUUAUGCAGAGCUCUAUCCAGUGCAUAGUAGGUAGGUCAAGCGCCUAAUGAAAUGAAAGAUUUCAAGUGAAAUGAUUUCUAGUCGACUUUAACGAAUAUUGAAAUAUGAUACUUUCUUUAUCGUGAUAUUUAAAGUAAAUGGCAUGGAGUCAUAUGUCGUUAUUACUCAUGUUCAAGACAUGCAUGAUUUUGCUUACUAAGCAUUGACUUAUAUAGUUCUUGCAUUGUAGGUGAGCAUGGAACUAUAUAGAGAGCAUGGCUAGCUAUGAAGCUUCUACGGGAUUCCAGAGUUUGAUAUACAUGGAUGAUGACCUGUAGGGUUAUUUUGUAGGCUGCUAUCUGUUGGAUUAUAUUUUGGAAUCCUAUAUAGUGUACUUUUGAAAUGGCCUGUAGACAUGUUUAUAGGCUCGGAAUAUAUAUGUUGGAUUGUGGCAAUAUGAUUUUGGGUUUCGAUAUGUCAUAUGAUCGUGUCACGGGUGAUUAGAAGUUAACAAACUGGAACAAAAAAAAAUAUAUGUAAAAUUCUAUAUCUAGGUUGUGUAUAGAUAUCAAUGUUAAUUGGAGGCGUGAUAAAUUAGAUGUAACUAUUCAAGUGCAAGAUGUGCAUAAUGAAAAGUCAUGAACCUUUGUGUAGGGUGCGAUCUAUCUAUCACAACAUGGUGUGAUCUAACGGCCCAAAUGUAUUUGUAUCAAAAGAUGCAAGCAUUUCAAAUAGACACAUUGAAAUCAAUGAAUUAGAUCCUCUGAAUCUUUUUUCUACCCACCAAAUUAAUCUCAAAAUAAUUGAUUUCUAG